GUUCAAGAGCAGAGAAAGAAGCAACUGCAAGACAUAACCUUACUGGAGAAUUCUUUGAUAAUUAGAAUGGGUGGCAACCACAUGAAUUGUUCAAGAAUGGGAAAUCGCUGUGGAAAUGGCUAUCCCUUGCGAAUGUGAUGACCAUGAACAGCCACAUUUCAAGGUCUUUGUCUGCAACCCAAAACUCAAGAACCAUUUUAUCAAAUGAGAAUCUGGAACAGUGGUUCUUACCCAGAGAUAGAUAUCAAAAUCACCAGGAGAGAUAUUCAAACUACACCAGCUCAGAUGCACUAUCAGAUUUACUGAGUAAGAGUUUCCAGUGCAAGGAUGCUUCACAAGUGAUUCUUGUAUACAGACCUGGUUAAGAUGCAGGAUCUACUAGUCUGUCUGCCACAGUCAGGGACUUAUGUUCUAGUUAUGAAAACAAUUAUAGCUAUUAUCCCUCAAGUACUAUGUACUUUUUUUGAUAUGGAGGCUGUAAAAUGCUUUUACCAAAAAUGACAUAAGAAUUUAGUAGAGUUACAGAGUAGCAGAACUUUAAAGGUACUUAGCAAUCACCUAGGUAGGAACCUUGACAUCCACAUAAGAAAACAUAAAUCCAGAACCACUAUUGAGUAACAGACACCUGACUUGAACUCAGCUCUACCUUUCUUUCAGUCCAGUAUUCUCCAUACCAUACCAUACGUAU